UACGAGGGGGGCGAGCGUUGUUCGGAAUUAUUGGGCGUAAAGGGCGCGUAGGCGGUCGGAUAAGUCUUGUGUGAAAUCUUCGGGCUCAACUCGAAGUCUGCACAGGAAACUAUCUGGCUUGAGUGUGGGAGAGGUGAGUGGAAUUCCCAGUGUAGCGGUGAAAUGCGUAGAUAUCGGGAGGAACACCUGUGGCGAAAGCGGCUCACUGGACCAUAACUGACGCUGAUGCACGAAAGCUGGGGGAGCAAACAGG
rnacentral:rRNA from 1 species